CACCGCCUGUCCGGCCUCGGCGACCUCCCGGUGCUGCCGCAGGGCCCCUCCCAGACGGUGAUCCAGUACGAGGGGGGGGAGGUGUGUCUGCUCUGGGACGACGGUGAGUCGGGCAGGGGGUAUCGGGGGUCCCGGUGCCCGGGAGCUGCCCCUCACGCCCUCCGCUCUCCCGCCAGGCCCCAGGCUGGAGGAUUUCUACCAACUGGGGGAUGAUGACGAGGACGAGUCCGACACAGAUUACGAGGAGCGGGAUGAGUUUUUGGACGUUCCCCUCGCGGAGCGGCCCCGGCCCUACAGCUACUGCGGCUUCCGCAAAUCCUUCUUGUGCGCGGAGCCGCCCGUGCCGCAGCCCCCCCGGACCCCCCCGAGCGCCCUGGAGGUGCGGCUGGACCGGCUGCCCACGCCCCGCUGGGCCCGGCUCACGGCAGAGGAGGCGGAGAGGAACGCGCAGGAGCUGGUAGCGGAGGAGGAGCGGGUGAAGAGGAAAGCGGAGAAAAAAAAGCUGAAGAAGAAGAAGCAAAAAGACCGGAAAAAACGGGAGAAACUGGGUCAAGAGCAGAAGAACAAGGAGAACACUGACCCAGUGAGUGACUUCUCCGACCCCCUCAAGCUGUCCUGGGGGUCCCCAGAGCUGGGGACUGGUCAGCACCACCUACACCAGCCACCCUUCUCCCUCCCUGUCCUUGCAGAGUCCCCCAGUCCCGAGUGGUCUCACAGGCACUGGCUCCCCCCAGGAUGGUGCUGA
rnacentral:lncRNA from 1 species